UGCAAGUCGAACAGAGAAUUUCUCUGAGUUUACUUAGAGAAAUUUUUAGUGGCGGACGGGUGAGUAACGCGUGGGUAACCUACCCAUAAAGCCGGGACAACCCUUGGAAACGAGGGCUAAUACCGGAUAAUCUUAAGCUUUGGCAUCAAAGUAUAAGGAAAGGUGGCCUCUGAGUAUGCUACCGAUUAUGGAUGGACCCGCGUCUGAUUAGCUAGUUGGUGGGGUAAAGGCCUACCAAGGCGACGAUCAGUAGCCGGCCUGAGAGGGUGAACGGCCACACUGGGACUGAGACACGGCCCAGACUCCUACGGGAGGCAGCAGUGGGGAAUCUUCCGCAAUGGACGAAAGUCUGACGGAGCAACGCCGCGUGUAUGAUGAAGGUCUUCGGAUUGUAAAGUACUGUCUUUGGGGAAGAAUGACUGGUUUAAAAAUAUUGAGCCAGUAUGACGGUACCCAAGGAGGAAGCCCCGGCUAACUACGUGCCAGCAGCCGCGGUAAUACGUAGGGGGCAAGCGUUGUCCGGAAUUAUUGGGCGUAAAGGGCGCGUAGGCGGAUGUUUAAGUCCGGUGUGAAAGAUCAGGGCUCAACCCUGAGAGUGCAUCGGAAACUGGGCAUCUUGAGGACAGGAGAGGAAAGUGGAAUUCCACGUGUAGCGGUGAAAUGCGUAGAUAUGUGGAGGAACACC
rnacentral:rRNA from 1 species